AACGAACGUUGGCGGCGUGGAUUAGGCAUGCAAGUCGUACGCGAAAGAGGGGGCAACUCCUCGAGUAAAGUGGCGAACGGGUGAGUAACGCGUAGGAAACCUGCCUUCGAGAUGGGGAUAACACUCCUAACGGGGUGCUAAUACCGAAUGACACUGCGGGAUCGCAUGGUUCUGCAGUCAAAGGUGGCCUCUGCUUGCAAGCUACCGCUCAAAGAUGGUCCUGCGUCCCAUAGCUAGUUGGCGGGGUAACGGCCCACCAAGGCGACGAUGGGUAGCCGAUCUGAGAGGAUGACCGGCCACACUGGGACU
rnacentral:rRNA from 1 species